GAUGAACGCUGGCGGCGUGCCUAAUACAUGCAAGUCGAGCGAACGGACGAGAAGCUUGCUUCUCUGAUGUUAGCGGCGGACGGGUGAGUAACACGUGGAUAACCUACCUAUAAGACUGGGAUAACUUCGGGAAACCUGAUCUCAUACCGGAUAAUAUUUUGAACCGCAUGGUUCAAAAGUGAAAGACGGUCUUGCUGUCACUUAUAGAUGGAUCCGCGCUGCAUUAGCUAGUUGGUAAGGUAACGGCUUACCAAGGCAACGAUGCAUAGCCGACCUGAGAGGAUGAUCAGCCACACUGGAACUGAGACACGGUCCAGACUCCUACGGGAGGCAGCAGUGGGGAAUCUUCCGCAAUGGGCGAAAGCCUGACGGAGCAACGCCGCGUGAGUGAUGAAGGUCUUCGGAUCGUAAAACUCUGUUAUUAGGGAAGAACAGAUGUGUAAGUAACUGUGCACAUCUUGACGGUACCUAAUCAGAAAGCCACGGCUAACUACGUG
rnacentral:rRNA from 1 species